AGUGAACGCUGGCGGUAGGCCUAACACAUGCAAGUCGAACGGCAGCACAGUAAGAGCUUGCUCUUACGGGUGGCGAGUGGCGGACGGGUGAGGAAUACAUCGGAAUCUACUUUUUCGUGGGGGAUAACGUAGGGAAACUUACGCUAAUACCGCAUACGACCUACGGGUGAAAGCAGGGGAUCUUCGGACCUUGCGCGAUUGAAUGAGCCGAUGUCGGAUUAGCUAGUUGGCGGGGAAAAGGCCCACCAAGGCGACGAUCCGUAGCUGGUCUGGGAGGAUGAUCCGCCACAAUGGAACUGAGACACGGUCCAGACUCCUACGGGAGGCAGCAGUGGGGAAUAUUGGACAAGGGGCGCAAGCCUGAUCCAGCCAUACCGCGUGGGUGAAGAAGGCCGUCGGGUUGUAAAGCCCUUUUGUUGGGAAAAAAAAGCAGCAGGUUAAUACCCCGCUGUUCUGACGGUACCCAAAGAAUAGGCACCGGCUAACUUCG
rnacentral:rRNA from 1 species